rnacentral:rRNA from 1 species
UACAGAGGGUGCGAGCGUUAAUCGGAAUUACUGGGCGUAAAGGGUGCGUAGGCGGUUAUUUAAGUUAGAUGUGAAAUCCCUAGGCUUAACCUGGGAACUGCGUUUAAUACUGUAUAGCUAGAGUACUGAAGAGGUUAGUGGAAUUUCCAGUGUAGCGGUGAAAUGCGUAGAUAUUGGAAGGAACACCAGUGGCGAAGGCGACUAACUGGUCAGAUACUGACGCUGAGGCACGAAAGCGUGGGGAGCAAACAGG